GUGUCAGCAGCCGCGGUAAUACGUAGGGGGCAAGCGUUAUCCGGAUUUAUUGGGCGUAAAGCGCGCGUAGGCGGCUUGUUAAGUCGGAUGUGAAAACCGGGGGCUCAACCCGCGGACUGCAUCUGAAACUGGCAGGCUUGAGUCUGGUAGAGGAGUGUGGAAUUCCUAGUGUAGCGGUGAAAUGCGCAGAUAUUAGGAGGAACACCAGUGGCGAAGGCGGCACUCUGGGCCACGACUGACGCUGAGGUGCGAAAGCUAGGGGAGCAAACAGGAUUAGAAACCCCGGUAGUCC
rnacentral:rRNA from 1 species